CUCAGGAUCUGCAUUCUCUCUAUGACCACCUCGCCUCUGCAAGGGACUCUGGACUCUCUCUACGCAUUGUCACCAAUGUGAUCCUCUUCACUCAGGACUUCAUCUCCUCUCCAAAUCACUCAGGAUCUCUGUUCUCCCACGUGAGGACCUCUUCCCAGAUUUGACCUCUGUGCUCCUCCUCACUCAGGGCCCUUCGCACCUGCCCAGUGUAUCACUGCCUAGUUUCUGACUGAUUGUGCUACUGCUCACCCUUCCACGUGAGGCUGUCUGGCCAUGUUCCGACCUAUGUGCUCCUCCUCACUGAGGACCUCCUCUCCUCUCCGAAACCCUCCACUCCUCUCCAAGUGAGUAUCUGUACCCAGUAUGU
ensembl:lncRNA